rnacentral:rRNA from 1 species
AUUGAACGCUGGCGGCAGGCCUAACACAUGCAAGUCGAGCGGGGUUUUCGGACCUAGCGGCGGACGGGUGAGUAAUGCGUAGGAAGCUGCCCGAUAGAGGGGGAUACCAGUUGGAAACGACUGUUAAUACCGCAUAAUGUCUACGGACCAAAGUGUGGGACCUUCGGGCCACAUGCUAUCGGAUGCGCCUACGUGGGAUUAGCUAGUUGGUGAGGUAAUGGCUCACCAAGGCGACGAUCUCUAGCUGGUUUGAGAGGAUGAUCAGCCACACUGGAACUGAGACACGGUCCAGACUCCUACGGGAGGCAGCAGUGGGGAAUAUUGGACAAUGGGCGCAAGCCUGAUCCAGCCAUGCCGCGUGUGUGAUGAAGGCCUUCGGGUUGUAAAGCACCUUCAGCGAGGAGGAAGGGGUGUGUGUUAAUAGUACACACCUUUGACGUUACUCGCAGAAGAAGCACCGGCUAACUCUGUGCCAGCCGCCGCAGUAAAAC